rnacentral:lncRNA from 1 species
GGGGGGGGGGGGGGGGGGGGGGGGGGGGGGGGGGGGGGGGGGGGGGGGGGGGGGGGGGGGGGGGGGGGGGGGGGGGGGGGGGGUGGAAGUUCCCGAGUUCCAGCGCCGCAAGAAUGGGAAGCGAGCGAAGCCAAAAUGCCCCCGGGGAGCGCGGCCCCGCUGGGGAGGCCCGGCACUUCCACAGCCCCCGCUCGCCGCGGCUCCCCCGCAGCCCAGCCCGCUCCUUCGGAGCCAGCCAGGGACCUCGGGGCGCUGCCAGGGCCUUUGGCAUCUGCGCGAGCGAUGGCAAGAGGAGGAGUGUUGUCACCGCGAGGACGAGCGAUGGAUGGGGAUGCCUGCAACCCAUGGUUGAACUGGAGCUGGAAGAAUAAAGCAAAACCAAGACACUUAUGAAGACAACAUUAGCUUUUGUGUAAAAACAAAUAAUUAGCUGUAAUCUACUAUCAGGCUUUUGAAAGUAGAUCUAUAUGGUCGUUUAUAUUUUGAGCAGUAAAUGAGCUUUGUUGGAGCUCAUCCAAUGAAGCCUAAAAACCUCUUUAAUAGCUGUUACCCAAAUAAAUAUGAAUUGUACCAGCCAUGACAUUCUUUUGGUUUCACUGUUAUAUCUUUAAGCACAAAACCUUCCCUUACAAAGAGAAACUAAGAAUAAGGCCUAUGUUAUUCCUACUGAAUAGAUGAAUUCUAUUGGUUCAUGCUGUGGAUUUUGUUUGGAUUUGUUUUGUUUAAAAGCAAAUUUAUUUGUGCUCCUGUAUUUUGUAAAAGACUUUCAGUUAAAUUUCCUGGAUCAGUUUGACAGUUCAACUUUCAAUGCUGAAUACAUUCCCUAAUUAUCCAGAGGAUAUUGAGAAAAUUAUUAAACUGCUGUACUUAAUUGUUUGCUAUUGGGCUUUUCUUUACAGAGACUCUAGGAUAUUUGCCAUAUCUCUUUUCACAUCUAUUUGAAGUCUCCAAAGUUUUCUGAGUCUUCUAAGGAUUAUGUAGAAGUUUUUUAAGGGAAGCUUUGAAAAAAUUAAUACAUGGUCCAUUUUAGAGGGCUCCAUAAUGAAAAUAGGAGCUAUGUUGCUUUGUAUAUUGACAGUUAUUUGCUUAGAUAAUUACUUCUACAAAAGUUUUGAAAAUGUUUGCUGUUGCUUCACUUUGUAGUAAAGUGUUCCAAUAUGUUAAGGAAAUUUUUGUUGAGCAGAAGAUUCUCAAAAUAAGGUGUAACAUUCAUUUGUUUCAGUGGUUUCAUAUUAGUGUUCUGAGUCUAAGAAGACUUACUUGAAGUACUAAGUGACACAUUUUAUUUAAUUUGUAAAUUAGAAAGUGUAUUAAGG